rnacentral:tRNA from 1 species
GUUUCUGUAGUGUAGUGGUUAUCACGUUCAGCCUAACACGCUGAAAGGUCCCCGGUUCAAACCGGCAGAAACA